AAGGGCUUAGCUUAAUUAAAGUGAUUGAUUUGCGUUCAAUUGAUGCGGGGUGUAGACCUGCAGUCCUUA
rnacentral:tRNA from 1 species